CCUGUCCCUAGAGGCGUUGCAGGUGUUACUGCUGUGUCACUGUUGAGUCAGAGGUGACACAGAGAGGCUAUGUCUACACUCAAUGUUCUGACCUUUGAACAUCUGAAUGAUUAGUAGCCUAACAUC